GAACGUAGAUAUUGACAGAAAUUCAAAUUACACUGACAGAUUCAUUCCGUUACUUUCAAGUUAACGUGUAUGUGAUUGAGAUUCUGCGUUUAUUUUAUUUGGAUUUUUUGGAAACUUGGCUAUACUUUUGGACUUUGAUUUGAUUGCUUUUCUCUAAGACCUUGCUAUACAUACUGGACACCGAUUUCUCGCGAUCACAGCUUGUCAUGACGUCUGGAAAUAGUCUAUGUGGACGUGAUCCAGUACCUGAGCCGUCUACUAGUUCUAUUAGUUCUAUGCUUCGUAGACGACCGGCUUUUUUGGAUGAUUCUGAUGAUGACGAUGGGCCCGUUGUCGGUCGUGACCUCUACACUGAAGAAGUGAUCAUGAUGUGGAACUUGACAAAAAUUAUGAAAAAUUUGAGUACUAAUGAGCAGUGUGUGGCAUUUGCUGAAGAAAAUGGAUUAGUGCAUUCUCAAAAGGAAUGUAGUAAACAUCGUAAACCCAUGAAAAUUGCUAAAUCGACGAAUAAAUCAUUUGGUUCAUGGUGUUGUACGAAAGGAAAUUGCAGAGCAAAAACAAAAGUUCCUAGAAAUAAAGGAACGUUUUUCGAAAAUAUUAAAAUCGAUUUAGUACAAGUGUUCUACUUGUUAUAUGCAUAUUCACGUAAAUGGAGCUAUGAAACAGUCAUUCAUGAAGACCCAUAUAAAGAAAGUAGACAACAAUGCAUAAGCCGACCCACCAUAAGUGAUUGGUAUUCUUAUUGCAGGGAAACUAUAGUUAUUUAUCAAAUGGAUAGAAAUCAAGUAGAAGGAAAGAUUGGUGGCCCAGGGAAGGUAGUCCAGAUUGAUGUAUCAAAAUUUGGGAAACGAAAAUUCAAUCGAGGACGACACAUUGAGGGCCAUUGGGUUAUUGGUAUGACGGAAGGCAAAGAAGUUCUGAGAUUAGAAGUGUCCCAAGACAAUAUUGAGUCAGCUGAAGUAUUAGUGCCACUUAUACAAAAACAUGUAGAAGUUGGCACUACUAUCCAUACCAACUUCUGGAAAGUGUAUGAUUGUUUAUCACAGCAUGGGUACAUACACAAAAAAGUAUUUGAGUCAGAUCCUGAUAACCCUGUUGUGGCUGACGAUGGAAGUUAUUUUUACGAAUACUUGUGGCGGCGGUACAAUGUUAAACACAGAAAAGACCCCUUUAUGGAGCUAAUUAAAGCUAUAAAAUAUGCUUAUAAAUAAAACACUUGCAAACUUAGCCGGGAAUAUCUGCGCUGCUGACCUGCUGAGUUGCUGCUUAUUUUGAACUCGUGCCAGGCAGUGGCCACAACAACCUGGCUCUACACAUACUAUGGAUUGGGCCCUGGUGGUUUUAGUGGGUAUGGGGUCAUCGCAUUUUACGACCUUGACCCCCACACUCCCCGCGCCAUUCACACUUGCCCAGGCGCGGGGGCCCGUAAUCGGGUUUCCCCAGGUAAAAAAAAAAAAAAAAAAAACUUCACCGAGAUGUUUAUUUGAUGAAACGUAUUAUAUAUUUAAUUUAAUAUGUCAAAAAUUUUAUUGCUUAUGGGUUGUCUAACAAAUUUCAGUCCAUGAUAUGAUUAAUUAAAAUUAAAAAUUUUAAAUAUUUCACCAGUUUGAUUAUUACCCAAAUUAUAACAAUCGAAAGUAUGAAGCCCAUAAAAUAUGCAAAUGUUAGGUUGCCUAUUCUUUUCCGGUCACAACUCUCGCGUAGCCAGGUAUAAACAUUGUAAAUUGUAAUCAAUACUAGGAU